rnacentral:rRNA from 1 species
CACGCUACGUGUGAAUCAUCGAAUCUUUGAACGCAAGUUGCGCUGUCGGGCAAGCACCUGACAGCGAGCCUGGAUGAGGGUGGUGCAAAGCGAAGGAGAUCUGUGCUCUCGUUUGUGGAGUGCGGGAGAGUGGGCCAUGUUUUUGUCCGCGAGGGCAAAUGGUCUGAAGCGUGGUGUUUGCGCGUUUGGAAGGUGUGCGCGAGUGAGCGAAGUGUGCGCAUGGAGCUCAGAUUGGCGUAGCAUAUUCCUGCGUAGACAUUGGAAGGAGGGAGGGAAGAGUUUCAACAUUCACUCCCAACAAACAUAACCUAUCACCUCAUCUCAGGCUCGACUACCCGCCGAAUUUAAGCAUAUCAAUAAGCGGAGG